AUGUACCGCUCGUACACUGCGGUUCCUCCGCGCCAUCCGCGCCCACCGACGACUGCUACGUUUUGUUACCC
rnacentral:sRNA from 5 species